rnacentral:rRNA from 1 species
UGGGGAAUAUUGGACAAUGGGCGCAAGCCUGAUCCAGCCAUGCCGCGUGAGGGAUGAAGGCCCUAGGGUUGUAAAGCUCUUUCUCCGGUGAAGAUAAUGACGGUAAUCGGAGAAGAAGCCCCGGCUAACUUCGUGCCAGCAGCCGCGGUAAUACGAAGGGGGCCAGCGUUGUUCGGAUUUACUGGGCGUAAAGCGCACGUAGGCGGACUUUUAAGUCAGGGGUGAAAUCCCGGGGCUCAACCCCGGAACUGCCUUUGAUACUGGAAGUCUUGAGUGUGGUGGAGGUGAGUGGAAUUCCGAGUGUAGAGGUGAAAUUCGUAGAUAUUCGGAGGAACACCAGUGGCGAAGGCGGCUCACUGGACCAUUACUGACGCUGAGGUGCGAAAGCGUGGGGAGCAAACAGG